CACGCAAUCUUUUGACCACGUUGGAAAAUCCUCUGGCCGAUCCCUUCGGUUGAAGAUCUACAAAAACACGACGUCAUGGUGUCGCAAAAAACGCUAGAUCCAGUCACUUUUAUCGUAAAUCGACUUUUUGCCAGCCGCUUCUUAUGGUUCUUACCAAUGCAAGCAAUUUUUUAUUAUGGAUGUUUUACGCCCAGCACUUAUAAAUAUAAAUGGCAGAAUAUAUAGACGAAACGCAAUUAAAGAAGAAAACUACGAAGAAAAGGAAGAUGACUUUUACCAAGACGAAAGACCAGAAUAUGAAGAAUUGGAAACUGAUGAAGUCUGUGAAAGCCACUUGAUUGAACAGACGGACAAAGGUUUCCGCUGUGCCAUUGAUGUCCCAAGUGUCCUCUACAAAUACAUUAUUGGAAAGAAGGGAGAGACACGCAGGCGUCUUGAGUCUGACACAAAGACAUCUAUCAACAUUCCCAAGCUGGGCAUUGAGGGAGAAAUUGUUGUCACCGGUGCUCAGAAGAACGCCGUCUCCUCCGCCGUCACGCGGCUGGAGAUGCUGAUAGACGGCUUCCGCAGGAAGCAGCCUUUCACCCACUUCCUGUCCUUUGCUCUCAAUGACUCCCAGGUUCAAGAGGGAUUCCACGCAUUCAAAGCCAUGGUUUUGGAGCAGUUUUCACAGGAUAGCGGGGUGGACGACAGCAUCUUCCAGAACCCUUCCAAGCUCCACCUGACCUUGGGCACUCUGGUGCUGCUGAACGAAACAGAGGUGAACAAGGCAUGCGACCACCUCCAGGAGUUUCGACAUGUUAUCAAGGACCUCACGGAAGGUAAGCCUCUGCCCCUGGAGGUGAUGGGCAUCGAGUACAUGAACGACGACCCUGCCGCGGUGGACGUACUGUACGCCAAGGUCAACCUGAAAGAUGGUUCCGACAGGCUCCAGGUAAUGGCCGACCGGCUAGUGGAGCACUUUGUCUCGGCCGGCCUGAUGGUGAGAGAGUGGGACAGGGUGAAGCUGCACGGCACGGUGAUGAACACCCUGUUCAGGAAGGACAGCACAGCCGAAGACGGUGGUGGCCCGGGACGAAGGAACCCACGGGACAGGGAGGCGUUCGAUGCCAGGAACAUGCUAAAGACGUUUGGAAGCCAUUGCUUCGGAGAGUUUGACCUGAGUUGCGUGCAGCUGUCCCAGAGAUUCUCCACAGAUUGCACAGGCUACUAUUCCAGUGCUGGAAGUGUCAGCUUUGCCUGAGGAUCCGCAGACUACUCACCAUCCAGCCAGAACCCAUGCCCAGCCUCCUCCUACACAACACCUCCUACCCACUGGCCGUCUGUCGAGCAUGACAUUGAAAAAUUGAACAAUAUUGACGAGGACGGAAGGCGUGCUUCAGUUUUUUGAAGCAACUGUAUCCAAUCCAUCAAACAAACCAUGGACCAAGGUGUGGACAACAAAAACACCAUCCUUUCUGUCACGUUACAGAAUAAGCUGGAGAUGUGAACUGGAACUUCAACAAAUCAAUAGACGUACAACAAAUGAUUGUAAAGUACUUAUUUUCAAUCUAAUAAAUACAACGCACGCAUA